AUUGAACGCUGGCGGCAGGCCUAACACAUGCAAGUCGAGCGGAGCGGCGGACGGGUGGGUAAUGCCUGGGAAUCUGCCUGGUAGUGGGGGAUCACGUCCGGCAACGGGCGCUAAUACCGCAUACUAUCAGAUGAGAGUAGGUCGGAUUAGCUAGUUGGUGGGGUACAGGCCGACCAAGGCGACGAUCCGUAACUGCCCUGGGAGGAUGAUCAGUCACACUGGAACGGAGACACGGUCCAGACGCCUACGGGAGGCAGCAGUGGGGACUAUGGGACGAUGGGCGGAAGACUGUUGCAGCCAUGCCGCGUGUGUGAACAAGGUCUUCGGCUUGUAAAGCACUUUAAGUUGGGAGGCGUUACCUGCAGAAUAAGCACCGACUAACUUCGUGCCAGCAGCCGCGGUAAUUC
rnacentral:rRNA from 1 species